GAUGAACGCUGGCGGCGUGCCUAAUACAUGCAAGUCGAGCGAACAGACGAGGAGCUUGCUCCUCUGACGUUAGCGGCGGACGGGUGAGUAACACGUGGAUAACCUACCUAUAAGACUGGGAUAACUUCGGAAAACCGGAGCUAAUACCGGAUAAUAUAUUGAACCGCAUGGUUCAAUAGUGAAAGACGGUUUUGCUGUCACUUAUAGAUGGAUCCGCGCCGCAUUAGCUAGUUGGUAAGGUAACGGCUUACCAAGGCAACGAUGCGUAGCCGACCUGAGGGGGGGAUAGGCCGCACUGGAACUGAGACGCGGUCCAGACUCCUACGGGAGGCAGCAGUAGGGAAUCUUCCGCAAUGGGCGAAAGCCUGACGGAGCAACGCCGCGCGAGUGAUGAAGGUCUUCGGAUCGUAAAACUCUGUUAUGAGGGAAGAACAAAUGUGUAAGUAACUAUGCACGUCUUGACGGUACCUAAUCAGAAAGCCACGGCUAACUACGUG
rnacentral:rRNA from 1 species